rnacentral:rRNA from 1 species
UACGUAGGUGACCAGCGUUGUCCGGAAUUACUGGGCGUAAAGGGCGCGUAGGCGGUCUUGCAAGUCCUGUGUGAAAUCCCUCGGCUCAACUGAGGAACUGCACAGGAAACUGCUUGGCUUGAGUUCGGGAGAGGGAAGCGGAAUUCCGGGUGUAGCGGUGAAAUGCGUAGAUAUCCGGAGGAACACCGGUGGCGAAGGCGGCUUCCUGGACCGACACUGACGCUGAGGCGCGAAAGCUAGGGGAGCAAACGGG